GGAAUAUUGGACAAUGGGCGAAAGCCUGAUCCAGCCAUGCCGCGUGUGUGAAGAAGGUCUUCGGAUUGUAAAGCACUUUAAGUUGGGAGGAAGGGCAUUAACCUAAUACGUUAGUGGUUUGACGGUACCGAUAGAAUAAGCAACGGCUAACUCUGUGCCAGCAGCCGCGGUAAUAAAGGGGGUGCAAGCGUUAAUCGGAAUUACGGGGCGUAAAGCGCGCGUAGGUGGUUCGUUAAGUUGGAUGUGAAAUCCCCGGGCUCAACCUGGGAACUGCAUUCAAAACUGUCGAGCUAGAGUAUGGUAGAGGGUGGUGGAAUUUCCUGUGUAGCGGUGAAAUGCGUAGAUAUAGGAAGGAACACCAGUGGCGAAGGCGACCACCUGGACUGAUACUGACACUGAGGUGCGAAAGCGUGGGGAGCAAAC
rnacentral:rRNA from 1 species